UGGGCUCUGACAGCAGCUAUGUCUCUCCCAUCUAUAGCCUCCUCCACACUUCUGACUCUUCAGGGACUCCAGAGAUGCCAAAUCUUCCCCCAGGUGAUGGCUAUCUUCCCCUCCUGAUGGUCUGUUUCUUUAUCCCAUGAUUUUUCCCUGAGCCUCAACUUUAAUCUCAGUAAUCAAUCUUUUCACCAAGUAUCUUCAAGUGGACUGCUUGGAUUCAGGAACUUUGUUGUUCAAUUAAAUGGAGAGCUUGUGCAUUUCAAUGAGACAAACGUUGCUAGCAAGAGGUAAAGACAACUGGGAACACCAAGAGGCAUGGCAUGAGAUGGUCAUAGUCAGAAGCUCCGUCAAAUGGCAAACACUUUUAAAUCUCUAAUAUGUGGUAGGUACUUUCCUAAGAGCUUUACAUGAAACGUCUUAUUUAAUCUUCACCAAAAUAAAUAAAGUAGACACUGCCAUUAUUAACAUUGUACAGACCAGGAAAUGGAGACACAGAGAAACUUGACAAGCUGAAAGUGAUGGAACCAGUACCCAGGAAAGAAAAGCCCAGUACCCCUUUUUAAUGACUGUCUGUGUUUCAUGGCAUGUUUUUCCCAUAUAUCUCCUUGAUUUUGAUGCUUCACCCAAAUUAUCUCUCCCAGGCCAGUGUACCAUUCCCCAGCUGCUAUGAGAGUUGACUACGAACUGCUCACAGUUGUCUUUUCCAGAGAACUGUCUCUGACCAAUGGGGGUCACCUUGGGCAAGAAUGCCUAGGAGUUAUGCCGCUUCUUCCCCCUUCAGAUGGGAGGGUAGCAGCUUGUAACUAAUAAUAGACUGAAAGGGGAGCACAAAGGCCUGUUACUCAAGGUGACCAGUGCUACAGUGCAUGUAUACACCAGAACUCUCCGUGGGAUCAGCCUAAGGCUUAGAGUUCAGCUGAAGUUACUGUUUUGUUUGACUCCUUCCUCUGUCCCAUCUUGCUUCUCUUAGUCCCUUUCUUCUGAAUGCCCUUCCUCAAUCAUUCACUUGCACAAGAAUCUGCAUCCCAGGCUCUGCUUCUAGGGACUCUGAGCUAGGACAGACCUUAUUUCACCCUUUAGGGUUUACACUCAAUAUCACCUCUCCAGGUUUGCUAUUUUUUUUCCAUUUUAAUUACAGUUCAGGAUCCCCUUGGCUUCACUUCCUUUAGCUUUAAAUUAAGAUAUCCCACCUGGUCCAACCCAAAUACCAGAACGUCUUACCUCCAUGAAUACCACCUACCUGAGGAAUUCAAUAAACACUUAUGGACCAAAAGAAGAGUAUCAAAUUCAACCAGUCACAUAUUAUAAUAACAAUAAUAACAGCAGCAGAAAGUGCCUCCUUGAGACUAGCUGAACUUAUCAAAUAAGAAAAUGCUGGCUUGGGAACUGUGACUCACACCUACAAUCCUAGCACUUUGAGAGGCCAACCUAGGAGGAUUGCUUAAGGCCAGGAGUUCAAGACCAACCUGGACAACAUAGCAAAAAUUAGCCCAGUGUGGUGGUGUGUGUCUGUAAUUUCAACUACUUGUGAGGUAGGAAGAUUGAUUGAACUUAGGAGUUUGAGGCUGCAGUGAGCUAUGAUUCUACAGCUGCCCUCCAACCUGGACAAGAGAUGAGACACUGCCUCUAAAAAAAAAAACAAAGAAAAGAAAACUAUAAAUCAAAUGCUGGAGUCAUCAGAGAGAACAUACAGUCAACUCAUAAGGAUUAGUUUAUGCCUUCAAAAACUUGUGUUAGGUCCAGUGGGGAAAAAAAUCACUAGUCUCUGUGUCUACUGGGGGAUCUCCAACUCAUCCUUGAAGACUUGGAUCAAUACCCCUUUUUUUUCUGUAAAUCUCAACAUAAGCUCCUCUCCCAUCCCACCAAGACUGAGCUGACUGAAUCUCCUUUACAGAAGACAACACCUGGUACCCAUUAUAAUGUCUUUUAUAAUGCUUGCCACACUGUACAACAAUUUUGUUGGCACCUUUUUCCUCCUUGCUUAUCUGUGAGCCCUUGACGCCAGCAGCCAUGUUUAUUAUUGCUCUAUCUAUACCCCAUCAAGCAUGCAACCCAUAAAAAAUAACAAAUAUCUAUUUGUAAAAUGCCUGAAUGAUAGUGGAGAACAAGCAGGACUGGAACCAGCUCCAGAAUCACAUAAAGACCCCACUCUUGUUUCUUGGGAUCGCUUUCUGCAUAAACUACCUGCACUCAAGCCAUUUCCUCGGCCUCUGCUUUGGGAGAGGAAGGAAGAAAUCAAGACUAGGACAAGAGUAAAGGGCAAUGUCUGUGACAAUGUGAUGGUUGGAGCUGAGGCCGCCAUCUUGCGUGCAUGAGGACAGACAUCUCUCAUUUUGAAGAAGACAGAUGAGAAGGGAAGAAAGUGCCAAGCUGUCAUUGCUUUCUUGAGUUUCCCAACCAAUCCUGAGACUACCUGACAACAAGAUUCUUAAAUAAAUAAUAACCCUCUUGAUGAAUUUGAUCAGCGUUUAUUCAGGUAUUUGGAUGGAUGAAUUUGAAUUUAGCAAACUACAGAUGAGAAGGAAACAGCAGGACCAUUCCUAACACUUGUGGGACCCAGAGCAAGCUAGGAACAAUGACCCGCAAAUCACAUACUAAAUAUUUACCAGUUAAAAAUUAAGGUAUAAACUGCUAAGUUAAAUGUGUUCUGUCCUCAUGCCUUGGAAAAUAGUAUGCCAUCAUAACAACCUGAGAAGACAAAUUGCAAUUUUGAGUGUUUGAACUCCUUUUGGGGCAUUGUGCUGGAACAUGGUGAUACAAGAAGAUCCUAGUUCCAGUCCCUGAUCCAUGGGUGGGCAUCUUCCCUUCCCAUUCCCCAGCUCUGUCCUACCUGUGAGAUGUCUUGAGAGAACAUAUUCAGACACUUUAGCCUGCAAGUUCAAAUGUCAUCCAAUUCUCCCAUACUUCCAAUAGACAUACUCGGCUCCCCUGUGGACACCAAGGUAUGCAGAGCUGUGGAAGGAUGGACCGGGGAAAAGGCACACAUGGCUCUGAAACCAAAUCAUGGCCCAUUAGAAAGAAAUGUCAGAGUCCUGGGCACCUGAAGAACAGCCUGAACAAAACAGCUUGGAACUUUGAAACACAGCAGGAGAGAGGCCUUCAAAUGCAUGUGGCUUUUUGUAGGGGCUCUUCCUGACUGAGUCUAAGGUGAUACUGAGAAACAGUCUGUCAAGGGAAGAUGUUCACCCAAACAUCACCAGGAGACAGGCUGAAAUCUUAAAACCUCAGCAGCAUGUUGGUCCCCAGAAGUAUUUACAAAGUAGCUCUUCCCUUUUUCAUCUUAUUUGUAAGAUUCGAACUUCAGUGAUUUUCAGCAAAUGACGAGAAGUUGUUCUUAGAUGUAAAUCCACAGAGAUGGAUUUAUCAAGAAGCCAAUGAAGCUGAAGCUCAAGGCUUCUCACUGGCACAGGUUCUGAGGAAGAGCCUCGACAACAUAUUCACACAAUACGGAGGCAGCCAUCUUGUGAACAAGAGGGCAGACAUCAUCAUCUGAAGAUGGCAGAAUGUAUUUUUGUAAUACGUAAAGGGUCUCACUCUGUUGCCCAGGGUGGAAUGAAGUGGCAGGAUCAUAGCUCACUACAGCCUUGAUUUUCUGUGGUCAAAUUAUUCUUCCACCUCAGCCUCCUGCCUCAGCCUUCUGUGUAGCUUCCAUCCAUUGUUGGCUGAAGGCUGCUCCUGGAGAUGUUGACUUCUCAGCACUUUCAAACUUCUCACUUCUUGGGCCAAGAGAAAGCCCUCG
rnacentral:lncRNA from 1 species